UUCAGAAAGAACAUAUCUAUCAGAUGUUUUAUGUAUGUUUUAUGUAUAAAAAAAACAUCAAUGAAAAGGCAAAAGAAGCACACAGGGUCAAAGGAGAAAGCAGAUUGGCUGACGGAGUUGAAAGCAGAUUGACUGACGGAGUUGAAAGCAGAUUGGCUGACGGAGUUGAAAGCGGAUUGGCUGACAGAGUUGAAAGCAGACUGGCUGACGGAGUUGAAAGCAGACUGGCUGACGGAGUUGAAAGCAGAUUGGCUGACGGAGGUGAAAGCAGAUUGGCUGACGGAGUUGAAAGCAGAUUGGCUGACGGAGUUGAAAGCAGAUUGGCUGACGGAGGUGAGGGCUGUUUGGCUGACGGAGUUGAAAGCAGAUUGGCUGACGGAGUUGAAAGCAGAUUGGCUGACGGAGUUGAAAGCAGAUUGGCUGACGGAGGUGAGGGCUGUUUGCGCUAUCCAAAACCGCAACCUGAGCCACAAAACCUCAGACACACACACAGGACAAUGACCCAACACACCUCCAGGCUUUUUAAGGGCUAUUUGACCAAGAAGGAGAGUGAUGGAGUGCUGCAUCAGAUGACCUAGCCUCCACAAUCACCUGACCUCAACCCAAUUGAGAUGGUUUGGGAUGAGUUGGACCACAGAGUGAAGGAAAAGCAGCCAACAAGUGCUCAGCAUAUGUGGGACCUCAUUCAAGACUGUUGGGAAAGCAUUCCAGGUGAAGCUGGUUGAGAGAAUGCCAAGAGUGUGCAAUGCUGUCAUCAAGGCAAAUGGUGGCUACUUUGAAAAAUCAAACACUUUUUUGGUUACUACGUGAUUAUGUGUGUGUUAUUUCUUAGUUUUGAUGUCCUCACUAUUAUUAUUCUACAAUAGUAAAAAUAAAGAAAAACUCUUG